ACUAACGGCUGGCGGCGUGCCUAACACAUGCAAGUCGUACGAGAAAGUUGGCUUCGGCCGAUGAGUAAAGUGGCGCACGGGUGAGUAAUGCGUGGAUAAUCUGCCCUUUAGUUGGGAAUAACGUACCGAAAGGUGCGCUAAUACCUGAUAAUACUGCAUAACUACUGUUGUGUAGUCAAAGAAGGCCUCUGUUUACAAGCUUUUGCUGAAGGAUGAGUCCGCGUACCAUUAGCUGGUUGGUGGGGUAAUGGCCUACCAAGGCUACGAUGGUUAGCUGGUCUGAGAGGAUGAUCAGCCACACUGGAACUGAGACACGGUCCAGACUCCUACGGGAGGCAGCAGUGAGGAAUAUUGCGCAAUGGGGGCAACCCUGAUCCAGCCAUUCCGCGUGAGUGAAGAAGGCCUUCGGGUUGUAAAGCUCUUUCGGCAGGAACGAAACGGUGGUCCCUAAUACGGGCUACUAAUGACGGUACCUGAAGAAGAAGCACCGGCUAACUACGUG
rnacentral:rRNA from 1 species